rnacentral:rRNA from 1 species
GACGAACGCUGGCGGCGUGCUUAACACAUGCCAGUCGAACGGAAAGGCCCUGCUUUUGUGGGGUGCUCGAGUGGCGAACGGGUGAGUAACACGUGAGUAACCUGCCCUUGACUUUGGGAUAACUUCAGGAAACUGGGGCUAAUACCGGAUAGGAGCUCCUGCUGCAUGGUGGGGGUUGGAAAGUUUCGGCGGUUGGGGAUGGACUCGCGGCUUAUCAGCUUGUUGGUGGGGUAGUGGCUUACCAAGGCUUUGACGGGUAGCCGGCCUGAGAGGGUGACCGGCCACAUUGGGACUGAGAUACGGCCCAGACUCCUCCGGGAGGCAGCAGUGGGGAAUAUUGCACAAUGGGCGGAAGCAUGAUGCAGCAACGCCGCGUGCGGGAUGACGGCCUUCGGGUUGUAAACCGCUUUCGCCUGUGACGAAGCGUGAGUGACGGUAAUGGGUAAAGAAGCACCGGCUAACUACGUG